AUCAUUAGCAAUAAUAAUACGUGAGAAUAAAUGAAUGAAUGAAUCAUGUAAAAGAACCACAGGUGAAAAUGAAUUAAUCAUUAGCAAUAAUAAUACGUGAGAAUGAAUGAAUCAUGUGUGAAUGAAGAAUCACAGGUGAGAAUGAAUGAUUCAUGUGAAAGAAUCUCAGGUGAAAAUGAAUGAUUCAUGUGAAAGAAUCAUAUUUGAGAAUUAAUGAAUCAUUUGAAAGAACACAUGCGAAAAUGAAUUAAUCUGUUUGAAAGAAUCACUUGAGAUUCAAUGAAUCAUGUGAAAGAAUCACGUGAGAAUUAAUCAAUCAAAUCAAUAAACGGAUCGCUUUAAGGUCUCCAGUUAUGGCUGGAAACUCCCAGGAGUUCAGCACCAGCAUCCAUCACAAAAUCACCAAGACCUUUAACUGAAGCUCACAAGUGCACAAAGCAAGGUCCAUAAAGACAUGGGCCUGACCUCAACCCAACAGAACACAGUUGGGAUGAAUUAGAGUGGAGACUGGGAGCCAGGCCAAAACUGGGAUGUCUGCCUUUACAUGUACAUGAAUGUAAUAUGGAGUUGUCCCGCCCUUUGCAGCUAUAACAGCUUCAACUCUUCUGGGAAGGCUUUCCACAAGGUUUAGGAGUGUGUUUAUGGGAAAUUUUGACCGUUCCUCCGCUCUAAUUCAUCCAAAAGAUGUUUUACCUUUCUGGUGUGCAGUCAUGUUGGUACAGGAAGGGGUCAUCCCCAAACUGUUCCCACAAAGUUAGGAGCAUGAAAUUGUCCAAAAUGUCUUGGUAUGAAGCUGAAGCAUUAAGGGUUCCUUUCACUGGAAAUAAGGGGCCGAGUCCAACCCCUGAAUUCAGUGAUUUGGAGGGGUGUCCCAAAACCUUUUGGCAAUAUAGUGUAUGUAAUGAAAUUGUCAGAGAAGCUAAUUUGGACUUUAUCCUCAUCCAGAGCAACUUUUAACUCAUUUAUAAAACUGAGCAAUUGGGAGUACAGACCUUGCUCAAGAGCCUAGCAGUGGCAGCUUGAUAAUCUGGGAACUUUCUGAUCAGUAAUCCAACACCCUAACCACUGGACUAACACUUCUCCAAAUGGGUUUGUGGAAGUGCAUCAUGGCACAUAUACACUUCUGGCAUUUGGCAGAUAUCCUCAGCUACUUAAUCCUUGAAAUCUUUGGUCAUUCCAUGAACAUUUAAAUGGCUCAAGUUGGAUUCUUCAGAUCUAUGACCAAAUCAGGAUGUAUUUUUAUUACGAUGCAUUUUAUUUUUUGACUUGUAGCUAAUUAACAGUUUCAUGUGUGCUGAUUCAACCUGAAAUCACCAGCCUGUCUGUAUAAUCAUAAUGCAAAGUAUUUCCAUCUGUAUUCUCAGUACCGUCACACAUCAAUGAGAAAAGAGGAUCUUGAACCCAAAACAGUCGGCCAAGAUGGCCAUUGUACCAGUUACCUCGAUUUCAGUUCCGCUAGUGACUCACGUUAUGACAACCUUCAGAUGAUUGUUUGCAGAUGAGAAGUUAGCCAAUUCAAAUGUAAAAAAAAACCCCACCACAGCAAUGAUUUAUAGGCAAACAUUUUAUUGUUUUUAUCAAGUCAAAAACAAAUAGAUACAGAGAAUUAGAGAAGUCCUCUUCUAUACAGUGGCAAUUUAAAGUUUAAAUCUUGCUUUAUUACCCCUUUUCAAACCCAGCCCAACUGAAGGAAACCCUGUCACAAUAUACACUCUUCUCACACACACACACACACACUCGCUCUCAAUCAUCCACACACUUCUACUAGGAGCCUGGGCACAUAAGUGACAAACUUUAAGAAAACAUCGUUGAAGGCAAUCUAGGGCAGAGACACUGACGAGCUGACGAACCUGCUCUAAGGCUUUAUAUAAAGCGAACGCUCGCACAAAGCCAUGACUGACAUUUAAAGAGCGAGGCAAAUGUCGCUCAUGUCAGGAAUGAACCCUGGUUCCACCUGUUUAUACACAUUGUUCUGCAUAUAGGUUUCCAGUAUUGUACAGUAUUUAUUUUCAGAACCCUCCCUCCCUAAGGAACAGACAUUGGUAAGGGGGGAGAAAAUGUAUAUAUAUAUUAAACAAAACAAAAAAACCAAACACUGAUUACUGUUGUAGGAAAUCUUGGGUUAUGUUUGGAUCAGAGGAGGACGUGUCGAGCUCAACUGCUGCGUAAAAUAGAUUUCAGCGCCCAGCUUUAGUCACAGCACACCACCAGUCAAAAUCUUUGACUUUAGCGCCUCCUGCUGUUGAUGAAAAAUCCAAACGCAAACCCAAAGACAACUAAACAUCUCUACGAAGCAGACAAAAAAAAGCAGAGGAAUUUCACCUCAGUAACUUACUGGGGGACUCUUUAAAUAACGUUAACUAAAAAG